UACGUAGGGUGCGAGCGUUGUCCGGAAUUAUUGGGCGUAAAGGGCUCGUAGGCGGUUUGUCACGUCGGGAGUGAAAACUCAGGGCUUAACCCUGAGCCUGCUUCCGAUACGGGCAGACUAGAGGUAUGCAGGGGAGAAUGGAAUUCCUGGUGUAGCGGUGAAAUGCGCAGAUAUCUGGAGGAACACCGGUGGCGAAGGCGGCAUCCUGGACCGAUACUGACGCUGAUGAGCGAAAGCCAGGGGAGCAAACGGG
rnacentral:rRNA from 1 species